AACGAACGCUGGCGGCAGGCCUAACACAUGCAAGUCGAGCGGACCCUUCGGGGUUAGCGGCGGACGGGUGAGUAACGCGUGGGAAUAUGCCCUUCUCUACGGAAUAGUCCUGGGAAACUGGGGGUAAUACCGUAUACGCUCUUUGGGGGAAAGAUUCAUCGGGGAAGGAUUAGCCCGCGUUGGAUUAGGUAGUUGGUGGGGUAAUGGCCUACCAAGCCGACGAUCCAUAGCUGGUUUGAGAGGAUGAUCAGCCACACUGGGACUGAGACACGGCCCAGACUCCUACGGGAGGGAGCAGUGGGGAAUCUUAGACAAGGGGGGCAAACCUGAUCUAGCCAUGCCGCGUGAGUGAUGAAGGCCUUAGGGUUGUAAAGCUCUUUCAGCUGGGAAGAUAAUGACGGUACCAGCAGAAGAAGCCCCGGCUAACUCCGUG
rnacentral:rRNA from 1 species